UACGUAGGGUGCGAGCGUUGUUCGGAUUUAUUGGGCGUAAAGAGCGUGUAGGCGGCCAGACAGGUCCGUUGUGAAAACUCGAGGCUCAACCUCGAGAUGUCGAUGGAAACCGUCUGGCUAGAGUCCGGAAGAGGAGUGUGGAAUUCCUGGUGUAGCGGUGAAAUGCGCAGAUAUCAGGAAGAACACCUAUGGCGAAGGCAGCACUCUGGGACGGUACUGACGCUGAGACGCGAAAGCGUGGGGAGCGAACAGG
rnacentral:rRNA from 1 species